rnacentral:rRNA from 1 species
AAACCAACAGGGAUUGCCUCAGUAACGGCGAGUGAAGCGGCAAAAGCUCAAAUUUGAAAUCUGGCACCUUCGGUGUCCGAGUUGUAAUUUGAAGAAGGUAACUUUGGAGUUGGCUCUUGUCUAUGUUCCUUGGAACAGGACGUCACAGAGGGUGAGAAUCCCGUGCGAUGAGAUGCCCAAUUCUAUGUAAAGUGCUUUCGAAGAGUCGAGUUGUUUGGGAAUGCAGCUCUAAGUGGGUGGUAAAUUCCAUCUAAAGCUAAAUAUUGGCGAGAGACCGAUAGCGAACAAGUACAGUGAUGGAAAGAUGAAAAGAACUUUGAAAAGAGAGUGAAAAAGUACGUGAAAUUGUUGAAAGGGAAGGGCUUGAGAUCAGACUUGGUAUUUUGCAAGCCUUACCUUCGUGGUGGGGUCCCCUGCAGUUUACUGGGCCAGCAUCGGUUUGGAUGGUGGGAUAAUGACUUGGGAAUGUGGCUUUGCUUCGGUAAAGUGUUAUAGCCCUUGUUGAUACCGCCUGUCUAGACCGAGGACUGCGUCUUUGACUAGGAUGUUGGCAUAAUGAUCUUAAGUCGC